UACAGAGGGUGCGAGCGUUAAUCGGAAUUACUGGGCGUAAAGCGUGCGCAGGCGGUGAUGUAAGACCGAUGUGAAAUCCCCGGGCUUAACCUGGGAACUGGCAUUGGUGACUGCAUUGCUGGAGUAUGGCAGAGGGGGGUAGAAUUCCACGUGUGAGCAGUGAAAUGCGUAGAGAUGUGGAGGAACACCGAUGGCGAAGGCAGCCCCCUGGGUCAAGAUUGACGCUCAUGCACGAAAGCGUGGGGAGCAAACAGG
rnacentral:rRNA from 1 species